GGCCACGCCGGGCAGCAGACUUCCAGGGCAGUGGAGGGAGUUGGCUUCCGGAGCCUAGUCAAGGGCCAUCAGGCCACUCGCUGCUCCAGAAGGCCCAGACACAGAAGUCCUACAUACCUGGCCACGGCUCCCGGUUAACAGCACACAACAGCAAGCAGGAAUGAAGAUAUGGGGAGCAAAGAUGGGCUGCUGAGGCUCGGAGUGGGAGCUUUCCCAGGUGCACAUGGUGAGCGGCGGAAUGAUUGCAACCUGGGAUUUCGAAGCCGGUCUGCCGGGUUAACUGGCUGCGGCAGUCAUCGGGGGACACGGGCUAGGGGAAGGGUCCCAGACCCCAACUACAGCCCAGGAAGUGGGGACCACGGUUCAGCCACACUCACCUACCACCUUGAAGCGGAUCAUCUGGCCUGGCCGGGGGAACACCUGUAGCUGCAUGC